rnacentral:rRNA from 1 species
GUAGGGGGCAAGCGUUGUCCGGAAUCAUUGGGCGUAAAGCGCGUGUAGGCGGCCAGAUAAGUCCGCUGUGAAAACUCGAGGCUCAACUUCGAGCUGUCGGUGGAAACUAUCUGGCUAGAGUCCGGAAGAGGAGAGUGGAAUUCCUGGUGUAGCGGUGAAAUGCGCAGAUAUCAGGAAGAACACCCGUGGCGAAGGCGGCUCUCUGGGACGGUACUGACGCUGAGACGCGAAAGCGUGGGGAGCGAACAGGAUUAGAUACCCUGGUAGUCCACGCCGUAAACGAUGGGUGCUAGGUGUGGGGGGUGUCGACUCCCUCCGUGCCGAAGCUAACGCAUUAAGCACCCCGCCUGGGGAGUACGGCCGCAAGGCUAAA